CCUACGGGUGGCAGCAGUGGGGAAUAUUGCACAAUGGGGGGAACCCUGAUGCAGCAACGCCGCGUGAGUGAAGAAGUAUCUCGGUAUGGAAAGCUCUAUCAGCAGGGAAGAAAAUGACGGUACCUGACUAAGUAGCACCGGCUAAAUACGUUCCAGCAGCCGCGGUAAUACGUAUGGUGCAAGCGUUAUCCGGAUUUACUGGGUGUAAAGGGAGCGCAGGCGGCGCGGCAAGUCAGAUGUGAAAGCCCGUGGCUCAACCCCGGGACUGCAUUUGAAACUGCCGGGCUAGAGUGUAGGAGAGGCUAGUGGAAUUCCUAGUGUAGCGGUGAAAUGCGUAGAUAUUAGGAGGAACACCAGUUGCGAAGGCGGCUUGCUGGACGAUCACUGACGCGGAGGCUCGAAAGCGUGGGGAGCAAACAGGAUUAGAUACCCCGGUAGUC
rnacentral:rRNA from 1 species